CAACUAAGGUCCUAAGGUCUGUCUGACUCUGAUUAUCCCUGAGGCUCUGGCCAGGUAUCCCAAGACCUAUUGAGGCCUGGACAGAGGGAUGCUGGGAAGAGCUGGGCCCACGCACUGAGAGGCUCUGGGAAGAUGAGCUACAGAGUAAAGGUCACAGGAACCUGGGCAAAGUCCCCUAAAAAGACUGUCAGCAAAGUGGCUGUUGAAAAAGGCAGUAAAGGAGGCUUCUGUACUGAGGAGACAGGACAAAGAAAAGGGAAGAACCAGAACAGUGGUCACUAAGUGACCUCAAGGCUUGGUGGAGCCAGUAGCAGAGGAUGCCCCGGGCCCUAGAGCACGCAGAUGGCAGGUGGUCCUGGAUGGUACUUCUGGCCUCCAUGGUGACCCAGGGCCUCACUGCAAGCUUCCCCAUCUGCACUGGGGUCUUCUUCACUGAUCUGCAACGUGAGUUUCAAGCCACCAACAGCCACACCUCCUGGUUCCCCUCCAUCCUGGGGGCCAUGGUCCAAGCUGGAGGGCCCCUGUGCAGCAUCCUGGUGGGACGCUACGGCUGCCGAGUAACCAUGAUGCUGGGUGGGGUGCUGGCCAGCCUGGGCAUGGUGGCCAGCUCCUUCUCCCGCACAAUUACCCAGCUCUUCCUCACAGCUGGAAUGAUCACAGGCCUAGGCAUGAGCUUCAGCUUCCAGGCCAGCAUCACGGUACUCGGCUUGUACUUCGUCCGCCGGCGGCCACUGGCCAAUGCCCUGGCCUCCAUGGGCAUCUCCCUGGGCAUCACCCUCUGGCCACCAUUUGCCCGCUACCUCCUGGAGAACCUGGGCUGGAGGGGCUCCUUCCUUAUCUUCGGUGGGGUCUUCCUCCAUUGCUGCAUCUGUGGGGCCAUCAUCAGGCCUGUAGCCACCAACACGGUCCCUGAGACCAAAGAAGAUCCCUCUUCCUCUUCCAAGACACCAGCACAAGGCUGCUUGGCAGCGUGUAGCUCAGGCAUCCAGCACCACCUGGCCUUUGACAUCCUGCGACACAAUGUGGGCUACUGUAUCUACACGCUGGGUAUGACAUGGACGUUCAUGGGUUACUCGUUGCCACAUGUCUUCCUGGUGCCAUAUGCCAUGAAGUAUGGAGUGGAGGAGUACCGGGCAGCCCUGCUCAUCUCCAUGCUCGGCUUGUGCAACAUCUUCCUGCGCCCCGUGGCAGCCCUAGUGAUAGGCUGGCCAUGCUUUGCCUGCUACCACAAGUACCUGUUCACCCUGGCAAUCCUACUCAACGGGCUCACCAACCUGGUGUGCACAGUGUCGGCCAACUUCUGGGUGCUGGUGAGCUACUCCGUGCUGUACAGCGUGUCCCUGUGUGGCACUGGCAUCCUAAUCUUCCAGGUCCUCAUGGAAAUUGUCCCCAUGGACCGGUUCCCCAGCGCUCUGGGCCUCUUUUCCAUCAUCAGUGGCAUUGCUCCCCUCAUCUCUCCGCCACUGGCUGGCUUGGUCCUGGACACCACCAGCAACUUCAGCUAUGUUUUCUACAUGUCAAGCUUCUUCCUCACCUCAUCCAGCCUCUUCAUGACUGGAGGCUUCUAUUACCUGCAGAAGAAGGAGCAGCAAGGCAGGCGACCCAAGGUGGAAAGAGCCAUCUCAGAGACUAGCCUGAUGCAGGGGCCUAUGCCAGAAGGCAAGGACAGUCCCAAGGAACAGCCAUGCCUUGAGAUCACGGCCACAAGUGAUCAGCUUGGACCCUUAGGACUGUUACAGAAAUCUCGGGAAGAAAUACACAGAAGAGACACAGAAUUUGGAUAAAAUAAUAAAAUUUCUUCUCGCAAGUGGGCGGGAACGCCAGAAACCAGUCUGCUUCCCUUCUGCCAUGAGAAGACCUCGCUCUCGGUAAAUCAUGCCAAUGAUGUAUAAUGCAGCAAACGCAUAGCGAAAGUCCAUAUAUAUACCUUUUUACCCUUUGCCCAUCAGAGUGCCUGUGUGAGUGUCCAGAGCUUAGCACAUUGCACCAACAGCCCUGGCUAGGACCACCUCAUCCUUCAUGGUUACUGCAUAUCCAUCAUGAUGAAGCCCAUCUUCCACAAAGCUGCUCCUAUCCAUGAACAGAACGAGGUCAGCAUCGGACAAGGGUAUCAUUUGCAAGUCAGGGCAGCUGGAAAAGAGCUCAUCAGUGACACUCAAGCAGUCAUGAUUGGGAGGGCCUGUCUCCGUGAGCAAGAAGG